GCUUGACUGUAUCUUGGAAUUGGGUUCGGGCUUUUCUUGCGCAGACUAGGUGGGAGGCUAUGAAGAUUUUCUUCUGGGAAAGUUGGAGCCAAUAGUGAGAGACCACUCUGGAAAGGCUAGAAUCCUAAUGGUGAUCCUUGAAUCAGGACACUUGACAGUUUCAGGUGGGCAGUUUUUCUGGGCGGAAGCCUCAUAAAAGGUAACUGAGGCGCGCAAAGGUCCCCUCAGUCUGGACGGAAAUCAGACAUUGAGUGUAAAGGCAAAAGGGGGCUUGACUGCAAGACCACAAGUCGAGCAGGGCGAAAGCUGGCCUUAGUGAUCCGACGGUGCCGUGUGGAAGGCCGUCGCUCAACGAAUAAAAGUUA
rnacentral:rRNA from 1 species